AACGAACGCUGGCGGCAUGCCUAACACAUGCAAGUCGAACGAGACCUUCGGGUCUAGUGGCGCACGGGUGCGUAACGCGUGGGAACCUGCCCUUAGGUUCGGAAUAACUCCCCGAAAGGGGUGCUAAUACCGGAUAAUGUCUUCGGACCAAAGAUUUAUCGCCUUUGGAUGGGCCCGCGUUGGAUUAGCUAGUUGGUAGGGUAAAAGCCUACCAAGGCGACGAUCCAUAGCUGGUCUGAGAGGAUGAUCAGCCACACUGGGACUGCGACACGGCCCAGACUCCUACGGGAGGCAGCAGUGGGGAAUAUUGGACAAUGGGCGAAAGCCUGAUCCAGCAAUGCCGCGUGAGUGAUGAAGGCCUUAGGGUUGUAAAGCUCUUUUACCCGGGAUGAUAAUGACAGUACCGGGAGAAUAAGCUCCGGCUAACUCCGU
rnacentral:rRNA from 1 species